AUGCUCACUGAUUAUAAAAGACGCGUUAUCUGAGGAAGACAACCAGCUACUACUCUUGUCUUCUACCUUUGGCUCCAUCUUUCUUUGAUCUCCUCUGUCUUUGCUCACCUCCCUCCUCUCCCUCUACAUCUUUUCUUCAAACUAGUAGCUGGUCCACUGAUUGCGAUUAUGAGAUAUGAGGGCAU